rnacentral:rRNA from 1 species
UACAGAGGCCCCAAGCGUUACCCGGAAUCAUUGGGCGUAAAGGGUGUCAAGGCGGUUAUGUUAGUCGUUCGUUAAAUCCAGGGGCUCAACUUCUGGUCUGCGAGCGAAACGGCAUAACUUGAGGUUGGGAGAGGUGCGUGGAACUCACGGUGUAGGGGUGAAAUCCGUUGAUAUCGUGAGGAACACCAAAGGCGAAGGCAGCGCACUGGCCCAAAUCUGACGCUCACACACGAAAGCCAGGGUAGCGAACGGG